ACCUGGCUAGUUCAGUUGGUAGAGCAUGUGACUCUUGGUCUUAGGGUCUUAGGGUUGUGAGUUCAAGCCUCAUGUUGGGUG
rnacentral:tRNA from 1 species